AGAGUUUGAUCCUGGCUCAGGAUGAACGCUGGCGGUAUGCCUAACACAUGCAAGUCGAACGAAAGUUUUUAACUUUAGUGGCGAACGGGUGCGUAACACGUGAGAAUCUGCCCUUGGGAGGAGGAUGUUGUUUAUUUUAACAUAACACUCCAUAUGUCGAGAGAUAAAAUAUUUAUUGCCUAAGGAUGAGCUCACGCCUGAUUAGCUAGUUGGUGAGGUAAUAGCUCACCAAGGCCACGAUCAGUAGCUGGUUUGAGAGAAUGAUCAGCCACACUGGGACUGAGACACGGCCCAGACUCCUCUAGGAGGCAGCAGUGAGGAAUCUUCCGCAAUGGGCGAAAGCCUGACGGAGCAAUACCGCGUGAAGGAUGAAGGAUUUUGGUCUGUAAACUUCUUUUUUCAAGAAAGAAAUUUUGACGGUACUUGAAGAAUAAGCAUCGGCUAACUCCGUGCCAGCAGCCGCGGUAAUACGGGGGAUGCAAGCGUUAUCCGGAAUCAUUGGGUGUAAAGCGCCUGUAGGUUGUUUGAUAAGUCUGUUGUUAAAGCCUAGGGCUUAACCCUAGAAAAGCGAUGGAAACUACCAGACUAGAGUAUGGAAGGGGUAGAGGGAAUUUCUAGUGUAGCGGUGAAAUGCGUAGAUACUAGAAAGAACACCAGAAGCGAAAGCGCUCUACUGGGCCAGUACUGACACUCAGAGGCGAAAGCUAGGGUAGCAAAAGGGAUAGAUACCCCUGUAGUCCUAGCCGUAAACGAUGGAUACUAGAUGUUGUGGGUUACUUGUAACAGAUGUUGCAGAUUAACAUGCAGUGACGAAGCUAACGCGUUAAGUAUCCCACCUGGGGAGUACGCUCGCAAGGGUGAAAC
rnacentral:rRNA from 1 species